CCAAAUGCGUGACAAUUAUAUGCUCGAUACCUCCGCCUGUCCUUGGACGUGAUGAGUACAGGAGACCAACUCAUUUUUGAUGACAUAUUUACCUUGUCUUUCCUUCAAAAACCCCAGGGUGGCGCAAUAACUGUUUCAGCUCUUGUUCCACGAUUCCAAGUGCAGCAGAGACGCGAAAUGAAUCCACACUUUCUUGAACAGAAAGCUCGUUAAUGUCAGAUGUUUGAGUUGGGAAUAAUACUGGUGAGGGGAUUGCAUUGUGCACAUGCCCAGCGGUAUCCGUACGGUCUUUACAGAGUUAUUCCCCCCGGCGCGGCAAACAGCUUCUGCACCAACUCGUUUAGGAUUCCUCUGCUUUUUCCCAUGUCGUGCAGCGGUGCUAGAUAGAAACGAAUGGACUUGUAUUGCUGCAAGCUCCAGCAGGUGGCGCUCGCGGCCCGCCUCUAUUGCCCAGCCGGAAUCAGCAAGCGGGAGACGGAGCGCCCGGCCCGCCCGGGUUUGCUUUGCUUUGCUUGCGCUGCGCGGGCCUGCUGCGCUGGUUACAGCCAGGGCAGGCAAGAUCCCAGGUGGCUGGGGUAGGGAGACGACUGGCCAGGUUUCUUCAAGUGACAGCAUGGUAUCUUGAUUUGCUGAAAACAGCUGAUUACUGUGGUUGCUUAUGGAAACAGAAUCCCUCUGUAUCCCUGUAUCAGACUCCAGCUAUAGUCAAUCUGGCAAGUAUCGCAUCAGCACAGAUUUACCAAACACUCCACACAUGGUGUCUGCAGCUCUGCAAAAAUGCUGAGUCUGGUUAGGAAGAAUGGGGGAAAGACCAUUUGUGGGUGGAUCUGGGACAUGAAACAGUCGCAUUUUGGUCUCUGAUAAAGAAUGGAGCUCAAUAGCGAUCCUGGGAGAAAAACAGUCUGGGACAGAGAAGGUAACUCUGAAGCAAAUUUUCUGUAUAGAACAGAAGGAAAGGCUAAAAGAAGCAAGGUAAAAAAAACUACAAAUCAUUCAUCUUGUAAUGCAGCUGUGAUCAGCAUGGUUUUGAUCCUUCACAGACACUACAAUGCAACUUCUCUUGCAUAACAAAACCUGGUUAUAAAAAUAAUGGUGGCCAGUAUAAAACAAUGCAUUCAGGCAAACUGGCAAUCAAUUCCAGUGCUUUGCAAUUUUUAUAAAGUGAUUGUUUCCAGGAAUGGAUCUACUGCAUUUUAUGAGGGACCAUCAAAUAAGACAAAAGUCUGUCUAAGGCCUGGUUCGCACUUACUAUAUGGAAAUUGUCUGUGCAGGCAAUUCCAGGCCACUCAAGAUCNAGGUAGGUUGGGGCCACUCAUGUUUUGUGCACUGGAACAUCACCAUUCUGUUCCAGCAGCACGCAAAAUACAAAUGACUGGAAUGGAUCCCCAGUGAAGAGUCCAAGCCUCAGAUUCAGACCUGCAGGGUGAUCCGGAAACUGCAAAUAACUGCACAGCCACAGUCAUUCAGUACACGCCCCCUCGCGCUCUAGGUAAGCCUGUGGACAGCUUUCAAGUUGUCCACAGCAGAAACAGCCUAGGGAGGGCAAUUCAAGACUAUUGCAGCAGCAUCCUGCAGGUAAAUAUGAAAAGGCCUAAAUUACACUGUCAAAGCAACAGAAGCUGAAGUAAGAGUAUUCUAUCAUAAAACAGAACAUAAAACCGUAUUUNAAAAAAAACCACAUAUGCAAGAGCACCAAAAGUAGCAAAAAGCGAUAACAAUAAAAAUAGUAACUCAGCAAAUAUUGCA
rnacentral:lncRNA from 1 species